rnacentral:lncRNA from 1 species
GGCAGGAUAUGGCAGCAUCUUCGGUUGUGCGUCAAGAAUUCUGCAUACAGUAGCACGUUUGUAUGAAGGUGCGGUUAUUCACAGGCAAAUUGUUAUAUGCUAUGGAGGUACGUUUGUGUCUUUUUGUCGAGCGCAAAACCUUUUUUAUUUUCAAUCAAAAAUAAUUGUUCUGAAAGCAAAUUUUUGGACACAAAGGAAGUCAUAGCGGACACCUACGAAGAAGGACUGUGUGAUGAUGGCAUCUCAGAGACCGAGCUGAUCAAGGGGUCGAAAAUGUAGAUAUUGCCAGAUGUUCACUGUCCGAGGAACAGGCCGUGGAAGCUUUAUUGCUGGCAAAACUAUCCAUAACCAGAGGUUAUAUCAGCUGUUUUGGUGAACCCCUCCUGCAUCUGAACUG